rnacentral:rRNA from 1 species
UGCAGACUUAGUGGCGGACGGGUGAGUAAUGUAUGAGCAACCUGCCUUCAAGAGGGGAAUAACAGUCGGAAACGACUGCUAAUACCGCAUAAUAAAGCGUAGUCGCAUGACAAUGCUUUCAAAGGAGCAAUCCGCUUGAAGAUGGGCUCAUAUCUGAUUAGAUAGUUGGUGAGGUAACGGCUCACCAAGUCGACGAUCGGUAGCCGGACUGAGAGGUUGAACGGCCACAUUGGGACUGAGACACGGCCCAGACUCC